UUUCCGUAGGUGAACCUGCGGAAGGAUCAUUAACAUGUCACUCAGUCAUGCUGCCGCGUGAACUGUACAAACCCACUCUGUGUACCUCUCCUGUUGCUUCCGCUGAGCCUGGAGCAUUUCAGAUGAGUUGUCUCUCGCACAGUCAAUUGCUGUGUGGGGUUGGCAACUCUCGGUGACUGCUCUGGAUUCACAUGCCCAGCGGGAGGAUACUUAAUUUCCGAAUUUACUAUUUCAUCUGUCUGAACUAUGAACCAAAAAAAAAAUUGUUAAAACUUUCAGCAACGGAUCUCUUGGUUCUCGCAUCGAUGAGGAAC
rnacentral:misc_RNA from 1 species